AUCACCACCACCAGCACCACCGGCCUCAGCACCAAGCCCGCCACCAGCCUCCGUCAUCUACCAUCACCACCACCAGCACCACCGGCUCCGGAACCAAGCCCGCCACCAUACUCCGUCCGCCAUCACCACCGUCCCCAGCAUCACCAUCACCAGCAUCAGCACCUCCACCAGCACCAUCGGCUCCGGGAUCAAGCCCGCCACCAGCCUCCAUCAUUAACCAGCACCACCACCAGCACCACC